rnacentral:rRNA from 1 species
AAUCAACGCUGGCGGCGUGCCUAACACAUGCAAGUCGAACGAGAAAGGGGAGCAAUCCCUGAGUAAAGUGGCGACCGGGUGAGUAACACGUGACUAACCUACCUUCGAGUGGGGGAUAACCUCGGGAAACCGGGGCUAAUACCGCAUAACAUCCUUGAAGUGGAAACUUUGGGGAUCAAAGGAGCAAUUCGCUUGAAGAGGGGGUCGCGGCUGAUUAGCUAGUUGGCGGGGUAAUGGCCCACCAAGGCUUUGAUCGGUAGCCGGCCUGAG